AGACAAUAGAUACCCAGGUAGUCCACGCCGUAAACUAUGCUUGCUAGCUGUUAUCAGUAUCGACCCUGGUAGUAGCGAAGCUAACGCGUUAAGCAAGCCGCCUGUGGAGUACGAGCGCAAGCUUAAAACAUAAAGGAAUUGACGGGACCCGCACAAGCGGUGGAGCGUGUUGUUUAAUUCGACGGUAACGAAGAACCUUACCCAGGCUUGACAUCCUACUAAGUUUUGCGAAAGCAAAAUGUGCCUUCGGGCCGUAGUGACAGGUGAUGCAUGGCCGUCGUCAGCUCGUGUCGUGAGAUGUUUGGUUAAGUCCAUCAACGAGCGCAACCCUUAUAGUCUGUUGAAUUUUCAGGCUAGACUGCCCCGGUAACGGGGAGGAAGGAGGGGACGAUGUCAGGUCAUUAUUUCCCUUACGUCUGGGGCUACAAACACGCUACAAUGGCCGGUACGAAAGGGCAGCCAAGGCGCGAGCCGGAGCAAAUCCCAUCAAAGCCGGUCUCAGUUCGGAUUGUAGGCUGAAACUCGCCUGCAUGAAGCUGGAA
rnacentral:rRNA from 1 species